rnacentral:siRNA from 1 species
GAGCACAAAGAGUUAACGGCGAU